rnacentral:rRNA from 1 species
GUAGGUGGCAAGCGUUGUCCGGAAUUAUUGGGCGUAAAGCGCGCGCAGGCGGUUCUUUAAGUCUGAUGUAAAAGCCCACGGCUCAACCGUGGAGGGUCAUUGGAAACUGGAGAACUUGAGUACAGAAGAGGAAAGCGGAAUUCCACGUGUAGCGGUGAAAUGCGUAGAGAUGUGGAGGAACACCAGUGGCGAAGGCGGCUUUCUGGUCUGUAACUGACGCUGAGGCGCGAAAGCGUGGGGAGCAAACAGGGAUUAGAUACCCUGGUAGUCCACGCCGUAAGCGAUGAGUGCUAAGUGUUAGGGGGGUUUCCGCCCCCCUUAGUGCUGCAGCUAACGCAUUAAGCACUCCGCCUGGGAGUACGGCCGCAAGGCUG